AUUGCCCGAUCUUAUCCGGCUAAGUGGCGACAUAGGCGGGGUAAGACGCAGCCGAAAUUCUUUCAUCGGCUGAAGGGUGCCGAGGGAAACGGCGGCGCCUUCCGUGUUUGAAAAGGAGCGAAUAUCA
rnacentral:ncRNA from 1 species